rnacentral:rRNA from 1 species
UACAGAGGUCUCAACCGUUGUUCGGAUUCAUUGGGCGUAAAGGGUGCGUAGGCGGCGGGGCAAGUCAGGUGUGAAAUCUCGGGGCUCAACCCCGAAACUGCACUUGAUACUGCCUUGCUCGAGUACUGGAGAGGAGACUGGAAUUUACGGUGUGGCAGUGAAAUGCGUAGAUAUCGUAAGGAAGACCAGUGGCGAAGGCGAGUCUCUAGACAGUUACUGACGCUGAGGCACGAAGGCCAGGGGAGCAAACGGG